UAACCCACUGCGUGAGUAAUAACUUAAAGAAUGUGUUUCACAUUAACACAUUUUAAUAAUCAAAAUACGCUUCAUUUGCUUGAAUCAUUCCAGCACUUCAUCUUGAUUAGGGUUUUUGAGAUAAAUGAGAUGAAAACAUGUAAAGAACAAAAUCUACAUAUUAUAACUGACAACUUGGACAUAAAUUUAGACAUUUCAUAUAAAACAUGCAGAGAGCUUAUAAAAAAAUAUCUCAAAAUUAGCUGUUAAAUAUUCACCCCGCACCAGUUUUUUUCCGUGUUAUGUGACAGAAUUAGAAGUUUUUGCAUGUUGUUAACUAAUGUAACAUCUCACUCUGUUCAACAUAUGUGUUAUGUGCGUGUCUCAUGUUUUAUUUAGGUGGCCUGUGGACCAAACAGAUGUUCUCAAGUCAUUUGCAUAACUUCACACAUCAAGGCAGUCACGGAGGUGAGGGAAGAUGCAGGCUCCAACCACUAUUACUGUAGUUCCUCAAAACCAAGCAGCUUCCAAGAUGAAGCUCUGUGCCACAUUUGAAGAGCAUUAAUGAGCUGGAGAUCUCUGUAUCGUGUGUUAUUAAUAGGGCUGCAGCAGGGAUCGUCCCGUCCACACUCACUCACUCAGACGCUCUCCAUCAGAUGAACCGCGUGUCGUUGUUCUGAAACAUUCAUAAAUGCACAAUGCCGGAGGCCGCCUCAGCAGAAAGUGAUGACAAGCCACGGCGAGAAGUGAUGACAUGUUACAUGUGCCUGCUAGCGACGGCCGCGCAGCCAUCAGCUGAGAGCAUACUACCCAGAGAGGCAUUAAUAAUCAUCUAUGAAAGGGAGAUUCUUGUGUCUCAUUUAUACGAUUAGCCCUUAUAAUGUGCCCUUUACUCAAGUUACCUGCUGCUUUACACAAACAAGGUAUGAAAAAAGGAUUUUUCUUUCCUCUUUCAAUAAAUAGUCAGUGACAGGAGGUGGCUUUAGGAAAUGUUGAUCGUAAAGCUCAAGAAUCAAACUAAUAUUUGAUCUAUUUAGCAGUCUAAAUAUGGUUCAUAAUCCUGAUUUGUGUUAUUUUUAAGCAAUAAAUAUACUAGGGUAACUAGUUUAAAUGGUUGAGCUUGAAGAAUGCAGUCAACAUUGCAAUUAAAAAACUGAUAAAACGUAAGGAGAUUAUUUACUUAAUUUACUUACGUAAUGUGAUUACUUACAUCGCUACGCUUAUGCUGUAUGCUGAAAAGGGUCCAAAUGAUGUGGUAUCACAAUUUUAAGACAUUAUAACAAAUCACUGCUUGA